rnacentral:lncRNA from 12 species
GCAUGUAAUAGUGGUGUGAAUUGCUGAACCUGGUGCAGUGGCAGCAGCUCAAGCUCUGACUCUGUGAAAGCACUGAAGGAAAACAUUUUUCAAUUUUGAAGGUCAUUGGAAGGCAGUAGAAGAGGGAUAUGGAAGUUAUUCAGUUGGAUGCAUGCAGGACACGAGUUACCAGCCCAGGUCCCCAGGAUAAGUCAGGUGCUGUUUUUUAACUGCCAUUGACUAAGUAUUAAUUAACCCAAAUGAAAGCUGAAGUUUCUCAGUGGUCAUUCCUGUCCUUCCAGAACACUGCUGGGCUGCACGCUGCCUCUGAGGACCAGAAGGUGAGGAAGCCUGUGACCAACACCCCUCUGGAAUACCACAGCUGGAAGCUUCUGUCAUUGCUCUUCCAAAGAAGCAAGUGCCUCUGAAAAAUAAUUACUUUGACCUGGGAAUGACCCAUUUCCUGAGGGUAAAUGACAAAGAAGAGACAGAAUAGCACUGGGUGAAGACCAAACUGAAAUUUUUAUGUCUUCCAUCCUGGGCCUGAAAUGAAUGCCUGGUAUUUUGACUGUCAGUGCUUGGUUCUCAUCAACAAAGUGGCAUGAGUUCAGGUAUGUCCUGUUGCUGACAAUUAGUCACUCUUCUGACCCAUUACAAAUAGAUUUAACUUUGUAAUCACUGUGAUCUUCAAUCCUACUUUCUUAACUGUGAUGUUGUUUGCCUGUGAAAAUAGCAUGGCUCUUGCCAUGAUCUCUGGUAGGUGUCAUUGCUACACUCUGCAGGGUACUUACUAACAAGGCAGACACUGUAUUUCCUGAAUUUUCCUUUAAGACUGCUUAAAGAUUUAGUUACUUGUGUAAUCUGUAUUCAGUGAUACAACACAGAACUUCCUUAUCCUGUUUGCCAGAUACAGUGUAUAAAGCUUGUAAAU